rnacentral:rRNA from 1 species
UAUAAGUGUUAUACAGAGAAACUGCGAAUGGCUCAUUAAAACACUUAUAGUUUAUUUGAUAAUCGAAUUUACAUGGAUAACCGUGGUAAUUCUAGAGCUAAUACAUGCUGGUAUGCUCGACUUUUGUGGAAGGGCGGUAUUUAUUAGAUAACAAGCCAAUAUUCCUCUGGUCUAUUGUGGUGACUCAUAGUAACUGAUCGAAUCGCGAGGCCUGUGGCCGCGAUAAGUCGUUCAAGUUUCUGCCCCAUCAGCUUUCGAUGGUAGUGUAUUGGACUACCAUGGCGUUUACGGGUAACGGAGAAUUAGGGUUCGAUUCCGGAGAGGGAGCCUGCGAAACGGCUACCACAUCUAAGGAAGGCAGCAGGCGCGCAAAUUACCCAAUCCUGACACAGGGAGGUAGUGACAAGAAAUACCAAUACGAGGCUCUUACGUCUAGUAAUUGGAAUGAGUGCGAUUCACAACGCUGCACGAGUAUCAAUUGGAGGGCAAGUCUGGUGCCAGCAGCCGCGGUAAUUCCAGCUCCAAUAGCGUAUAUUAAAGUUGUUGCGGUUAAAAAGCUCGUAGUUGGAUUUCUGUCAACGAGUGGCGCUCCGCCCCUUGUGGUGAGUAGUCGUCAUGCCGUUGGCAUCUUUCUGGGGAGUGUAUCUGCACUUCAUUGUGUGGUGCAUAAGCCAGGACUUUUACUUUGAGGAAAUGAGAGUGUUUCAAGCAGGCGCACGCCGUGAAUACGUUAGCAUGGAAUAAUAGCAUCGGAUCUCGCUCCAAAGCUGUUGGUUUCUUGGGUCGAGAUAAAGGUGAAUAGGGAUUGUUGGGGGCAUUCGUAUUUAACUGUCAGAGGCGAAAUUCUUGGAUUUGUUGAAGACGGACUACUGCGAAAGCAUCUGCCAAAGAUGUUCUCAUUGAUCAAGAACGAAAGUUAGGUGAUCGAAGACGAUCAGAUACCGUCGUAGCCUUUACCAUAAACUAUGCCGACUAGAGAUGGGGCAUCGUUCAUUUACGACUUGCUCCGCACCUUAUGAGAUAUCAAAGUUUUUGGGUUCCGGGGGGAGUAUGGUCGCGAGACUGAAACUUAAAGGAAUUGACGGAAGGGCACCACCAGGAGUGGAGCCUGCGGCUUAAUUUGACUCAACACGGGGAAACUCACCAGGUCCAGACAUAAUAGGGAUUGACAGAUUGAUAGCUCUUUCUUGAUUUUAUGGGUGGUGGUGCAUGGCCGUUCUUAGUUCGUGGAGUGAUUUGUCUGCUUAAUUGCGUUAACGAACGAGACCUUAACCUGCUAAAUAGGAGCGCCUAUCUUCGGAUAAGCGUCUUUCUUCUUAGAGGGACUUUAUGCGUUUCAGCAUGAGGAAGUUUGAGGCUAAAACAGGUCUGUGAUGCCCUUCGAUGUUCUGGGCUGCACGCGCGCUACACUGAUGCGUUCAACGAGUGUACAACCUUGCCCGAUAGGGUUGGGUAACCUUUUGAACACGCAUCGCGAUGGGGAUAGAUUAUUGCAAUUAUUAAUCUUCAACGAGGAAUUCCUAGUAAUGGCGAAUCAUCAGUUCGUCGUGAUUACGUCCCUGCCCUUUGUACACACCGCCCGUCGCUCCUACCGAUUGAGCAAUCCGGUGAAUAUUUCGGACCGAAUAGCCGCGGGGCAACCCAUAGCCGUUGGAAAGUCAAGUAAACCUUAUUGC